rnacentral:lncRNA from 1 species
ACUGGUAGCAGCCCCUGGUAUAUCCAGGACAUCAGCACAUAGAACCAGUGAAAGGGUCCUCCCUCAUAGUGACGCAUGUCAUAGACUCAGAUUUAUACAAACAAAUGCUGAGCAAACCAUGAAGAGUCUCUGGUAUUUUCAACAAUAUCAUCACAGAGGAACUGUAUUGAUUUCCUUGCACGUUCAGGGUACUGGGAGAGGCAACAGGGAUGGAGGUCCCAUGUCAGGGGACUUCACAGUGUGACGGGAAUGUUCAACCUGCACCUGUUCCUUGCACCAUACUCCAUCCAGCUCUCCGCUCUUCCAGUCAUUUAUGCUCCUGUCUUCCGUGGAGGAAGUCUGGUAGUAUCUCCCCGGGACACUGGCUCAAAUUUCCAGCCACCUGCCCAAGACAGAUGGGACCAGGGGCCAGAUGAUGUGGACAAUGAUGAUGUCACAAAGAGAAGAACUUUUCAAAUGUAGAGGAGCCUUUAGAAGGAAGCCUUGAGCAUGAGGACAGACCCCCCUCAUCCAACCACCACCUGACUCUGUGUGAACCUGGAACUGUUAGAAUGUCUGUGCUGUGAUAAAAGGUCAUCUCCCUACAAUGUUAUGAUACAGACCUCAAACCUACAAACAUGAGGAACUUCUGCCUCCAGGUUAACUGCUUACCCACUGUACAAGACACGUUACACACAGUCCAGGAGGCGGAGCUUCUGAGAUAUCUAGAAACAGCUUAGAGGCAAAAUGACAAAAUAAAGCAGCAACAACAAAUAAAA